rnacentral:siRNA from 1 species
GUUGCGGUCGAGUGACUGGCUGC